rnacentral:rRNA from 1 species
GAUGAACGCUGACAGAAUGCUUAACACAUGCAAGUCGAUGGGGAAGUGGUGCUUGCACCAUGGUAACCAUGGCGGACGGGUGAGUAACGCGUAAGGACCUUGCCUCCGGGACUGGGAUAACAGCAGGAAACUGCUGAUAAUACCGAAUAAGGUCAUUAAGCUGCAUAGCUAAGUGAUGAAAGGAGACGCCUGCGGAGAGCCUUGCGUCCUAUUAGCUAGUUGGAGGGGUAACGGCCCACCAAGGCGAAGAUAGGUAGCCGGCCUGAGAGGGUGGACGGCCACAAGGGGACUGAGAUACGGCCCUUACUCCUACGGGAGGCAGCAGUGGGGAAUAUUGGACAAUGGGGGCAACCCUGAUCCAGCAAUUCUGUGUGCACGAAGACGGUUUUCGGAUUGUAAAGUGCUUUCAGCAGGGAAGAAGGAAGUGACGGUACCUGCAGAAGAAGCGACGGCUAAAUACGUG